ensembl:snoRNA
UUCCAAAGUGUUGAGUUCAGUUCAGGAAGCUUCCCUGUUCUGUUAAUUAAACUUUGGGACAUUGAAAUAGGCUGGGGGAGACUACUGGAUAGAGUAUUACUCUCUUCAUUUACCUCCCAGCCUACAAAA